GACGAACGCUGGCGGCGGGCUUAACACAUGCAAGUCGAACGGAAAGGGCCUGCUUUUGUGUUGUUCUCGAGUGGCGAACGGGUGGGUAACACGUGAGUAGCCUACCCUUUGCUGUGGGAGAACUUCAGGAGACAGGGGCUGAUAACGGAGAGUAACUCCUGCUGCAUGGUGGGGGGGAGAAAGUUUCGUCGGUUGGUGAUGGACGCGCGGCUGAGCAGCUUGUUGGUGGGGUAGUGGCUUACCAAGGCGUUGAGGGGUAGACGGCAUGAGAGGGGGACCGGCGACAUGGGGACUGAGAGACGGAGCAGAGUCCUAUGGGAGGCAGCAGGGGGGAACCUUGUACAAUGGGGCGACGCCUAAUGCAGAAACGCUGCGGGCGGGAAGAAGGCCUUGCGGUUGUAAACCGAUUUAGCCUGUGACGAAGAGUGAGUGACGGUAAUGGGUAAAGAAGCACCGGCUAACUACGUG
rnacentral:rRNA from 1 species